rnacentral:misc_RNA from 1 species
UCUCCGUUGGUGAACCAGCGGAGGGAUCAUUACUGGAAUCGCAAGAUCCCACAACCCUGUGAACCUACCGAAACGUUGCCUCGGCGGGUGCCCGGCCUCUGCGCCGGGCGCUGCGCCCGCCGGCGGCCCCCUACUCUGUCUCUGCAGCGUGCAUCUCAGAGUCCCAGAAAACAAGUCAAAACUUUCAACAACGGAUCUCUUGGCUCUA